rnacentral:misc_RNA from 1 species
GAUGAAGAACGUAGCGAAAUGCGAUACGUAAUGUGAAUUGCAGAAUUCAGUGAAUCAUCGAAUCUUUGAACGCAUAUUGCGCUCUCUGGUAUUCCGGAGAGCAUGCUUGUUUGAGUAUCAGUAAACACCUCAACUUCCAUAUCUUUUUUUGAAAUGGGAGUUGGACUUGAGUGAUCCCAACGCUUUUCCUCACCGAAAAGUGGCGGGUUACUUGAAAUGCAGGUGCAGCUGGACUUUUCUCUGAGCUAUAAGCAUAUCUAUUUAGUCUGCCUAAAAAACAGAUUAUUACCUUUGCUGCAGCUAACAUAAAGGAGAUUAGUUCUUGUGCUGACUGAUGCAGGAUUCACAAAGACAGCUUCGGCCGACUUUGUAAACUCGAUCUCAAAUCAAGUAAGACUACCCGCUGAACUUAAGCAUAUCAAUAAGCGGGGA